rnacentral:miRNA from 1 species
UGCCUGGUUCCCUGUAUGCCA